rnacentral:rRNA from 1 species
UACGAAGGGUGCAAACGUUGCUCGGAAUUAUUGGGCGUAAGCGCACGUAGGCGGCUUUGCAAGUCGGAUGUGAAAUCCCUCGGCUUAACCAAGGAAGUGCAUCCGAAACUGCAGAGCUUGAGUACUUAAGAGGAUCGCGGAAUUCCCGGUGUAGAGGUGAAAUUCGUAGAUAUCGGGAGGAACACCAGUGGCGAAGGCGGACGAUCUGGGAAGAUACUGACGCUGAGGUGCGAAAGCGUGGGGAGCAACAGG